rnacentral:lncRNA from 1 species
UGUUUUGGGCUCAAACUUUUACAUUUGGAGUUUUGACCGUGAAGUUCAAAUUUUGGGAGAAAAUCUGCACAGAAGAUCAGCCUCUCUCGCGCCACACGGGAAUGCCAUGUGCGCUGGGUGCGGUAGCCGCGUCGUGGCUCGCCGGUGCCACGCAGCGCCACAGGCCUGCCACCGCUGCGCCGCCCAACCACCGGUCGCAUAGCGACAACACAGGGCGCAGGCUCACCCAACUCGCGCGCAUGCUAAUCCUCCC